GUUUUAUACAAUAUACAAUGUAUAUUCACUUUUACUACCAACUGAUAGAUUAAAACAAUCUUUACCAUUCAGUAAUAAUAACAAGCACUUUUUUUACAUUUUAAUAUUUUAUGAUGUAUUUAAAUGAGUAGUUAUUGUUGCAAACUUCAUUAGAAAUUUGAAUUGAGAUCAGUUUUGAAAUAAGGGAAAGGGGGAUGUGAAAAAAAAAUUGGGGGGGUCAAUUUUUUUCAUUUCAGAUUUCAUAAAUAAAAAGAAAAUUUAUUCAAACAUUUUUUUGAGAGGAUUAAUAUUCAACAGCAUAGUGAAUUGCUCAAAGGCAAAACAAAAAUUUUAAGUUCAUUAGACCACAUUCAUUCUGUGUCAGAAACCUAUGCUGUGUCAACUAUUUAAUCACAAUCCAAAUUUAAAGCUGAAUCCAGCUUGAAUGUUGUGUCCAUACUUGCCCCAACCGUUCAGGGUUCAACCUCUGCGGUCGUAUAAAGCUGCGCCCUGCGGAGCAUCUGGUUGAGUUUUGGUCUUUUUAUCUAAUACUAUAUGCCAUAGGUCAACUGUAUUUGGUGUAUGGAAAUAUUUUAUGAUCUUUAUGUUAGUCGCACAGGUUUUAUUUGACCGUGACCUCAUUUUCACGGUUCAUUGCACAGUGUUAAGGUUUUGUAUUUUGCCUUUUGGUCUAUUUUUCUUAAACUAUAAGUAAUCGGUCAACUAUAUAUGUUGUAUAGAAGCAUUGUUAGCUGUACAUGUCUGCCUGGCAUGGUUCAUCUGACCUUGACCUCAUUUUCAAGGUUCAUUGGUCUUUGUUUAGUUAUCUUGGUUAAUGUUAAGUUUAUGUGACAAUUGUUAUAAAGCUUAGCUUUAUACUUAGGACUAUCAACAUAAUAUCAAUGAUUAGUAUAGAAGGCGAGACAUUUCAGCGUGUGCACUCUUGUUUCUGUUGAAGUAAUAGGAGAAAUAAAGGUAAUAUCGAAAUAAAAAAAAGAAAUUUAUUACAGAAAUCGCUAAAAUUUUACAAUAAUUUAGUUUUAGUACAGCUUAUAUGGAAAUUAUAUUAAAAAAGAUAGGUCACCGAUGAGUUGAAAAAGAUAUUUCAAUUUUAGAGCCAAAAAAUGGCAUUUUUCCACCAAAGGGAGAUAAUUUGGAACUUUUUCAAUGAUGUAUACAUUUUGAAAGUCAUCUGGAGCCAACACGAAUUGAUUGUUUUGAAUGAUUUUUGUACCAUAUGAUAAAGUAACAACUACAAAAGGAAAUAAAUAAAAUUUGUAAUGAAAAACAAAUGUUUGAUUUUUUUCUGAAAUUUUUAUACCCUCGAGCCUCCUUAAGAUUGUUUGCAUAUUGUCUAAAAUCAUUUGAGAAAUAGAUUUCACCACCAAAUCUCGUGCAAUAUGAUAUUUAUCCACUCUCAAUUAAAUUUUAAAUACAUAAUGUAUAUAAAAUGAUCUAUAAUUUAAAAUCUAAUCAGUGCUUUCUGGACAAUUUUAAAGGUCUGAUUUUGAAAUAAUGUUUUGUCUAUAAUUUUAAUAGAAAACCAAUUGUUAGACUUAUGACAGCAGGUAAGAUUACCAGAAAAUGCAGACCAAAGUUUCAUUACAGUAUCAGAAUUUGGGCUUUUUAAAGCCCAUAAUUAGCAAAUAAACAACAUGCAAAAUAAUUUAUAUUUUUAUCAAGGAUUUUAAGUAGGGGGUUCUAAGAGUUCUUACUAUGAAAUAAAAAUCCUCAAAAUGUUUGAGGUUAACAACAGAUCUGGGUUACAGUGCCCCACUUUUUGUCCUCAAAUGCCAAAUUAGGGGUUUACAUAGUACUAGUAUGUAAUUUUAAGAAACCUAUAUAGUAUAAUUUAUUAAUUUUUCUUUCAAAAGGAAC
rnacentral:lncRNA from 1 species